AGGGGGCGGGCUACACAUGCAGUCGAGCGGUAGCACAGAGAGCUUGCUCUCGGGUGACGAGCGGCGGACGGGUGAGUAAUGUCUGGGAAACUGCCUGAUGGAGGGGGAUAACUACUGGAAACGGUAGCUAAUACCGCAUAACGUCGCAAGACCAAAGUGGGGGACCUUCGGGCCUCAUGCCAUCAGAUGUGCCCAGAUGGGAUUAGCUGGUAGGUGGGGUAACGGCUCACCUAGGCGACGAUCCCUAGCUGGUCUGAGAGGAUGACCAGCCACACUGGAACUGAGACACGGUCCAGACUCCUACGGGAGGCAGCAGUGGGGAAUAUUGCACAAUGGGCGCAAGCCUGAUGCAGCCAUGCCGCGUGUGUGAAGAAGGCCUUCGGGUUGUAAAGCACUUUCAGCGGGGAGGAAGGCGAUAAGGUUAAUAACCUUGUCGAUUGACGUUACCCGCAGAAGAAGCACCGGCUAACUCCGUGCCAGCAGCCGCGGUAAUACGGAGGGUGCAAGCGUUAAUCGGAAUUACUGGGCGUAAAGCGCACGCAGGCGGUCUGUCAAGUCGGAUGUGAAAUCCCCGGGCUCAACCUGGGAACUGCAUUCGAAACUGGCAGGCUAGAGUCUUGUAGAGGGGGGUAGAAUUCCAGGUGUAGCGGUGAAAUGCGUAGAGAUCUGGAGGAAUACCGGUGGCGAAGGCGGCCCCCUGGACAAAGACUGACGCUCAGGUGCGAAAGCGUGGGGAGCAAACAGGAUUAGAUACCCUGGUAGUCCACGCUGUAAACGAUGUCGAUUUGGAGGUUGUGCCCUUGAGGCGUGGCUUCCGGAGCUAACGCGUUAAAUCGACCGCCUGGGGAGUACGGCCGCAAGGUUAAAACUCAAAUGAAUUGACGGGGGCCCGCACAAGCGGUGGAGCAUGUGGUUUAAUUCGAUGCAACGCGAAGAACCUUACCUGGUCUUGACAUCCACAGAACUUUCCAGAGAUGGAUUGGUGCCUUCGGGAACUGUGAGACAGGUGCUGCAUGGCUGUCGUCAGCUCGUGUUGUGAAAUGUUGGGUUAAGUCCCGCAACGAGCGCAACCCUUAUCCUUUGUUGCCAGCGGUUAGGCCGGGAACUCAAAGGAGACUGCCAGUGAUAAACUGGAGGAAGGUGGGGAUGACGUCAAGUCAUCAUGGCCCUUACGACCAGGGCUACACACGUGCUACAAUGGCAUAUACAAAGAGAAGCGACCUCGCGAGAGCAAGCGGACCUCAUAAAGUAUGUCGUAGUCCGGAUUGGAGUCUGCAACUCGACUCCAUGAAGUCGGAAUCGCUAGUAAUCGUAGAUCAGAAUGCUACGGUGAAUACGUUCCCGGGCCUUGUACACACCGCCCGUCACACCAUGGGAGUGGGUUGCAAAAGAAGUAGGUAGCUUAACCUUCGGGAGGGCGCUACCACUUUGGAUAAACGG
rnacentral:rRNA from 1 species